rnacentral:rRNA from 1 species
AGAGUGAACGCUGGCGGUAGGCCUAACACAUGCAAGUCGAACGGCAGCACGGUAGGAGCUUGCUCUUAUGGGUGGCGAGUGGCGGACGGGUGAGGAAUACAUCGGAAUCUACCUUUUGGUGGGGGAUAACGUAGGGAAACUUACGCUAAUACCGCAUACGCCCGUUCGGGGGAAAGCCGGGGACCAGCAAUGGCCUGGCGCUGAUAGAUGAGCCGAUGUCGGAUUAGCUAGUUGGUAGAGGUAAUGGCUCACCAAGGCACGAUCCGUAGCUGGUCUGGAGGGGAUGGGUCAGCCACACUGGAACUGAGACACGGUCCAGACUCCGUACGGGAGCAGCAGGUAGGGAAUAGUGGACAAGUCGGGC